rnacentral:rRNA from 1 species
UACGUAGGGGGCGAGCGUUGUCCGGAAUCAUUGGGCGUAAAGCGCGCGUAGGCGGCCAGAUAAGUCCGGUGUGAAAGUCACAGGCUCAACCUGUGAAUGCCGCUGGAAACUGUCUGGCUUGAGUCCGGAAGAGGCGAGUGGAAUUCCCGGUGUAGCGGUGAAAUGCGCAGAUAUCGGGAGGAACACCAAUGGCGAAGGCAGCUCGCUGGGACGGUACUGACGCUGAGACGCGAAAGCGUGGGGAGCAAACAGG